UGACCUUUUUGUCUAAAAAUCUACGAAAAACAUGGCCGCGGUGUGCAAAUAAUGAGUUGCUUAUUUCAAAACUGUCCUAUUAUUUUUCAGUAAAACUUCUUGUUAAUUUAAGACUCUAAUAACUUGCUUGACAUACCCAUAGGCAGAUAUCUGUUAUCAGUGUAAUUACACCUUUGGAGAAAAGCGUGAUUCGCACGUUUUAAUUUCAUCAUUCGCCGCCUGGAGAGACAAGAUGGCGGAGCUUGCGAAAUCGAAAAUUGGUACUUGAAAGUCAAUGGUUGAUCAUGCUGACCAUCUUUAAUUUAAUGGGGAAAGAUUAACCAAUAUCUGCAGCUGGACAGGCUGUCACCACAGUUCAAUGAUUUAGUUAAGACAAUGAAAUCGAAGAACUUCAUGCUAACACUUGCAUCAGUGGAAGUACUUCUUAUUGGAUAGAGAACUUUUCAAGGUCAGUGAUAUUUGUAAUGUUUUAUAUCAAUAUUUUGUUUUGCCUUUUUAGCUCACCUGUCACAAACCUGCAAG
rnacentral:lncRNA from 1 species